UGUAGUGAUGUACUAAUUUUGACAUGUAGGCAAUUUAGAAAGUAUAGUUUUGUUAAAUCUUGAGUAUGAAAGUCAUGAGAGAGAUAGAUAUCAGGGCAAAAUAAAGAGACUGAAAUAGAAAAUUAUACUUUC